GCUUCGACUAAGGUUCGAUUCGAGCGCAGCGAGAAAGCGUUGCCGCAGGCAACGACCCGAAGGGCGAAGCGCGCAGCGCUGAGUAAUCCUUCCCCCACCACCA
rnacentral:sRNA from 2 species